UGCGAUACUUGGUGUGAAUUGCAGAAUCCCGCGAACCAUCGAGUUUUUGAACGCAAGUUGCGCCCGAGGCCACCCGGCCGAGGGCACGCCUGCCUGGGCGUCACGCCUCGCGUCGCUCCGCCUACCUCGCCCUGAGCACCCCGUGCUCCUAAGGCGGCGGGAGGCGGAUGCGGA
rnacentral:rRNA from 1 species